GAUGAACGCUGGCGGCGUGCCUAAUACAUGCAAGUCGAGCGAACAGAUGAGGAGCUUGCUCCUCUGACGUUAGCGGCGGACGGGUGAGUAACACGUGGAUAACCUACCUAUAAGACUGGGAUAACUUCGGGAAACCGGAGCUAAUACCGGAUAAUAUAUUGAACCGCAUGGUUCAAUAGUGAAAGACGGUUUUGCUGUCACUUAUAGAUGGAUCCGCGCCGCAUUAGCUAGUUGGUAAGGUAACGGCUUACCAAGGCAACGAUGCGUAGCCGACCUGAGAGGGAGACGGCCAACGCGGACAUUGAGACCGGGCCAAGCCCCCGACGGGGGGCGCAGGAAGGAGUUCUGCAGAAUGGGCCAAGGGCCGAAGGAGGAAGCGCCGCGGGAGUGAUGAGGGUGUCGGUCUUUAAAUCCUUUUUUAUUGGGGAAAAACAGUUAUGAACAUAAUUGGGCGCGUCGUGACGGUACUUAAACAAAAAGCCCCGGCUAACUACGUG
rnacentral:rRNA from 1 species